UCUGUAGUCUUUGAAAACAUUUUUUCACAAAUCUAAACAACAAUAAAAUGUUUAUUUUAACAACCUCAGUGAAUACUCAAUGGAUGAAACAGGUACUGGCAACAUAUGUCCUGACGUAUUGAUUCAAAUAUUCAUUUCCUUGCCACAUUGCGAGUGUGUCUCAUGUGCUGUGUUCCAUGCCACACUUGCCGCUGUCUAAGCAUCCUGUUCCAUAUGCCAUAAAUCAUAAAAGCAGACAAAAUAUUCGCCAGGCAAACAACAAAAAAUGAACCGAAAUUAUGUUUUUGCUCCAGAUAUGUCGCCGGGCUGAGUACGAGGCAGGCAAAAGCAGAGGACUUGAAAAAUUCCCGUAGAGUGCGUAGCUUGCAUAUAUGCAGGCGGACGCAGGACGAACGCGUCAUAAAACAACAAGGACAGAGCACCAAAAAUAUUUACAAAAAAAAAUACGCUUAAAUGCAAUUUUUGGCAUAUUUCUUUUUCGACUCAUAUGCAUGCGGCGCCUGUGAUUUACGAUGAUGCAAAAGGAACUCGAAACAGCAGGACGAAAUGCAGCCAGACAGUUGCUUAAUGCUCUUUGAAGUGCAACAUGCAUCCGGCGCCGCGGUGGGCAAUUAAAAGUCAAUCCAAUAAAGCCACCAAAGUGCAAUUCAUACAUCGUUAAAUAGCCCCUCCAGCGCAACACUCGCAGCUUGCCCAGCAUCAAAGCCCCGUCGGUAUUGCUGGCGGGCAUUGAAACUGGAGCUCGAGCCGAAAUUGUGACCCGCCAAUGUGAUGGGAGUUUUAUGUUCUAUUUAUGUUGUGCAAACGAUGCCCCAUAAUCGUAAAAAUAUCAAAACAAAUCGUUAAAAUCGAUCGUCGUGACGUUGUCGUCAUUUGGCGCUGCUUCCUCGAUUCGAACUCACAUUCAGAUUCAGAUUCUCGAGUCGGGGCCCAAGAAUGUGAACGGCUUCAUUUGCGGAGUUUGGAGUAGCGUUUGGGGCGCCCACGGCUGUCGAUAUCCACAUAGAUGUUUCGUUUCGUAAGUGGCGCGGGUCGACGCGUGUCAAUUGAGUUGCUUUGCUCCCGCGCUUAUUUGUAUUUGAUAUUGAAAGUAUCCAAGCGUGUGUGUGUGUGCGUGCGCCCGCCCAUAAACAACAUGCCACUGGGGCAUGCUACGUCGUUGGCAACACCAAUGCCAGCCAAAAGGAGCUCAUAAAUUUUGUGACUUAAUUAAGUUGGCAACACUUGAAAAUUAUUUGAAUUUUUAUUUCGGAGUGAGCUAUCAAUUCAAUUGUUGUUGUUGCUUGAAGUGUGUUUCGCUUACAUUUACAGAUAAUAAUUGUAAGAGCCCAUUAUUGAAUGCA